rnacentral:lncRNA from 10 species
UCCAGGGCUCCCUGAGGGAGGCCAGCACAAGAGCUCUGCCAUAAAAGGACAUUGGACAGAAGUGAAGAGUCCAAUCAGAAACUCUUUUUGAGAGACUGAACGCAAAGCAUUCAGAGAGUCAGCAGGCUGGAGAGGCCAAGACACACACACGAAGAAGGCACAGGGACACUCUUCUCCUCCUGCGGUUGGACUCCAGGCUCUAUGACCUUCAAACUCCAGGACUUACACCAGUUGCCCCUGGGCACUCAGGACUUCUGCUUCAGACUGACAGUUGCAGGACAGUGCAGCAUUUUAUUUUAAAGAUACCCCACAACGUAGGUGGCCAGUCCUGCUGCAGAUUGAGAGCUGUACUAGCCUGGCAUGCAGACAGCAGCUUUAGAAUCAGAUCUGCCUUCUGGCGGCUUCCCACCUAGGAGCCAUGGGACCUUUGUGAAGUCACCAAUUGUGCUGUGGAUGCUUCAUUUGUGAAGGAGAACAGGACUGCCUUAUGAGGAAACUGAGGUACAGAUGGGAAACUUGCUCAAGUUCACACAGCAAUUAAGUGAUCAAGUCCAAGAGCAAAACCAGGCAGGCUGGCUCCAGAGCUCACGAUAGUCCACCACUGCUUUCCACCAUCACUACGGAAUCAAGUCCAUGAGGAUACUCACCUUAUGUCAGUUGCCUAAGUUGGAAAUUAUAGAAUCUUCAAAUUGGAAGGGACGUUAUCAUCCAAGAUUUCAACUUUCUACUCACUGCAAAAUCCCUUCUGGAACUUCCCAGAUUGAUGAAUUUUCAUCAGCUCUGCUUGAGUACUCCCAGUGACUUGGAAAAAAAACACUGUAAUAUGGAUAUGAAAUAUAAACUGUUCAUGGAUAAAUUAUUGCAUAAUAAAAACAUGCCUAAUGGCUACACUCCCC